rnacentral:rRNA from 1 species
GAUGAACGCUGGCGGCGUGCUUAACACAUGCAAGUCGAACGGGAACUCUAGACUGAAGGUUCGCUGGAUGUUUAGAAAUUCUAGUGGCGGACGGGUGAGUAACGCGUGGGUAACCUGCCUAUAAGACGUGAACAACAGUUAGAAAUGACUGCUAAUACACGAUAAGCACACCAGUAUCGCAUGAUACAGUGUGAAAAGAAUUUCGCUUAUAGAUGGACCCGCGUUUGAUUAGCCAGUUGGUGGGGUAACGGCCUACCAAAGCGACGAUCAAUAGCCGGCCUGAGAGGGCGACCGGCCACAUUGGGACUGAGACACGGCCCAAACUCC